GACCGACUUCACGCGACGACUGGUCGAAGGUGCCACCAAACCAACUGCCGAAACCUGGUUCGAAUGGGUUCUUCCUCGAGCAACGCCAAGGAAGCGGCGGCGGCGGCGCCACCGCCACCACCUCCUCCUGCUGCGCCGCCGGCCCCCCUCCACGUGAUGGACGCGGACGAGGACGACGACAACGUGAAGCAGCUCAACGAGUGCGCCGCCCUCUACCUCUCCCUCCAGGACUGCCUCACCGAGUCCGACCGCAACUGGAAGGCCUGCCAAGCACGUACCUUAUGUGGUGCUCAAAUAAAUGAACAAAUGUAGAUGUUUUUUAAGGAAGAAGAGAGGGAGGUUCCUGCUUUGAUGAUGUUCAAGCCUUGAAAGCAUGUGAGGCGAGCAGAAACAAAAAUCAGAAAACAUGAAAUACUUUCAUGCACCUUCGUACAGGCUGCAUGCUGAAGGCACUUCACUCAUAUCAUCUUCGUUAAGACAAAAGCACAACGUGCUGAAUUCUCAGCUGUUGAUGGAGAAUAUUUGCAACAUCACAAAUUGUAGUGUGCUUUAUGAUCAGAUUGCUUUUAUUUGCAACAACCACUACACCAGAUUGGAUGUUUCAAAUAUUACUUGUCAUUUCUAAUAAAUGUCGGCAGUUUUGACAUA